CAUUGCUGAUGUGAUGCUUCUGGUGUUGCUUGGCAUGGAAUAGAUAUAUUUGAGAAAACCCAAAAGCGAAAUUAACGUGACUGUACUUAUGUACAUGGGAUUACAUUUAUUUAUUAUAUGUUUUUGAAUUUUAAAUAAAUUUCCAUCCCAGGGCGAUUUAUAAUUAAUUUCGAUUAUGAAAUCGUACCUUGAGCAUACAUGGUAGGACCCGAAAGAUGGUGAACUAUGCCUGAUCAGGUUGAAGUCAGGGGAAACCCUGAUGGGAGGGA
rnacentral:rRNA from 1 species